GAUGAACGCUGGCGGCGUGCCUAAUACAUGCAAGUCGAGCGAACGGACGAGAAGCUUGCUUCUCUGAUGUUAGCGGCGGACGGGUGAGUAACACGUGGAUAACCUACCUAUAAGACUGGGAUAACUUCGGGAAACCGGAGCUAAUACCGGAUGAUAUUUUGAACCGCAUGGUUCAAAAGUGAAAGACGGUCUUGCUGUCACUUAUAGAUGGAUCCGCGCUGCAUUAGCUAGUUGGUAAGGUAACGGCUUACCAAGGCAACGAUGCAUAGCCGACCUGAGAGGGUGAUCGGCGACACUGGAACUGAGACACGGUCCAGACUCCUACGGGAGGCAGCAGUAGGGAAUCUUCCGCAAUGGGCGAAAGCCUGACGGAGCAACGCCGCGUGAGUGAUGAAGGUCUUCGGAUCGUAAAACUCUGUUAUUAGGGAAGAACAUAUGUGUAAGUAACUGUGCACAUCUUGACGGUACCUAAUCAGAAAGCCACGGCUAACUACGUG
rnacentral:rRNA from 1 species